GUCAGUGAUACCUGGUGUGGUUGAGUCCGACCUUUAGUGUGUGUGUGUGGUGGGGCCUGGACCUUGUGCUGAUGCCCUUCGCCCACGGCUGACAACCAUUCCCGCUCCUUCAGCCCUUCCAUCCAUAUCUCUAGCCACUCUUGGUGCUCCAUCUGCACUAACCGCUCCAACUAUCCCAACACGCUCCUGAGCCUCGCCACGCCUUGCGGAAACAUAGUAAGGGGCAAUGGAGGCGUGACAGUGGAGGUUAUAGGCGGCACCUUGGACGACGACUGUCACACAACUAGCCACGAUCAUGACCCCAAAGUUGACGAGAAAAGGUCAAGAUCCAAGGAUCAUAUAACACAAAGUCUGGGCACAAGACGGCCACCUCGCAGACGCCAGCAGGGCAAGUCAUUGUCCACGGAUCAACACCGCACAAACUUUCUCAAACCCUCAAAUUUUACGAAAUAUUUUUUUCGUCGCAUGCGCAAAUUUUACGAAAUAGCUGACAACUUGAAGACAGUACAUUCCACGACCACAGUAGAUGGUGACACUGCUGAAGAGCCACACCUCCAGAGCACCUGAGUAGCAAGCCUACACCGCCAACAAAGGGAACACGUCUGAAGACAGCAAAGGGAUCACCUGUGAAGCCAACACAGGUGGUAGUCGGAGAAGGCAGGAAGGAGAGCAGGUAACAUCUCCUAGACCACAAGAGGUGACAGUCGUGGCUCAUACAAGGUCACAGCCAACACCUGCACCAGAAUAUAUCGUGUCUUCCGACUACUCCUCAUCCCCACCUCAUUUUCCUCUUCCUCCUGCUCCUUUUCCCUCCUGUUGUUUACUGUGAACUUUCUCUUUUCGAAGUGGAGGCGAGAGAUUGUUUGAGCCGUGAAGGUUGGGUCGGCACAGUCUACCUUUGACUAGCGAGAGGCAAGCAAGCACCCGCCUCCCCCUCUCCUCACUGUGGUCACAUGAGUACAUCAACUCGGCCUCACACGGUCCACUCUCGCUCCCUCUCUUCCCACCUCACGCCCUACCAACUUACUCAAUAUCUAUUCCACUCUCGUUACACGAACUUGUGAUCAAAUCUUGACUAAUACCCGUUGGUAUUGAGAAGUGUUAUCUGUGUUAUCUGUGGCGGGCUUGCGACAGUGACGGUGUCUUUGUUCACGAAGAACAACAGGUCACAUUUGAGUUGUGUUGCUUUCUUCAACAUUGAAGUGUUGGCAUGACUAAGGAACCCCGCCGGGUGUUUGCUGUGAUGGUAACAACGCUCAGCACUACCAAGUAAACGCUGUGACUAUCACCUCCACAACUUAAAGGUGUUUGAAAGUAAAGGAUAAAGUGGCACAAAGACAUUUCUGAGAACCAGAUCCCCAGUGAAGGAAAGUGAAGCAGAACAACUACCUCACCUCCAUACAUGACCUGAGGAGCUGAGGGUGACUGCCAUUUCCCGGAGACUACGAGCGUAGUUUUAUAGUGAAGUGUAGUUGUAUAGUUGGGGUUGUAAAGCCUCUUGUAAAGAUGAGUGGAAGUGCCGUAGCGGACUUCUUCCAUGAUCGGUGUGUACUGAUCACGGGAGCGACGGGCUUCAUGGGCAAGGUGCUGGUGGAGAAGCUGCUCAGGUCGUGCCCACAAGUGGCCACCAUCUACCUCCUCAUGAGACCCAAGGGCGGACACGACGUCAAGGCUCGACUCGAAGAGCUCCUCAACUCUAAGCUGUUUGAUGAGCUGCGGAGCAAAUCUCCAGAGGUACUGCAGAAGUUGGCACCAAUUCAGGGUGACAUCAUGCUGCCGGGUCUGGGAAUCUCUCCUGACGACUCCACUAUCCUCAUCUCAGCCGUCUCUGUUGUCUUCCAUGCUGCUGCCACCGUCAAGUUCGAUGAAGCACUCAAACUCUCACUCCAGAUGAAUGUUUUGGGCACCAAGCGCCUCAUUGAACUCUGUCACAAGAUGACUAAGUUGGUGGCAGUGGUUCAUGUUUCCACAGCCUAUUGCAACUGUGACCGAGGUGAAGUGAAGGAGAUGGUCUACCCUCCGCCCAUCGAUCCGUAUAAACUCAUUCAACUCAUCGACUGGAUGGAUGAUGAAACCUUCAAUCAUCUUACACCCAAAUUGAUUGGGUCGCGUCCAAACACCUACACAUACACAAAGGCAUUAGCUGAACACGUGUUGGUUCAGGAAGCCGGAUCGUUGCCUUUGGCCAUUGUUCGGCCAUCUAUAGUUGCUGCAGCCUGGCGGGAACCUCUACCAGGAUGGGUCGACAACCUCAAUGGACCUACAGGAUUGAUUGUAGGAGCUGGGAAGGGUAUGCUACGUACCCUUCACUGCCGAGGAGAGCUGGUGGCCGACCUCAUUCCUGUUGAUAUACCAAUCAACCUCCUCAUUGUUACAGCCUGGCACACAGCCACUCACAGCAGUGUUUGAAGACUGAGGUGAACCAUAUGGUUUCAUGAGUUGCCCAUAGGCAUCAAUGGCAUCACCCUGCAGUUACAUGAGGCCUCUCGCCACUUCAGUGCCCCUACAAUCUUGAUGGCAGAUGCACUUCCCUCCAGCCCCCGCUUCGACAAAACACUGAAUUGAGAGUGUACAACUGUGUGUCGGGCAUGGAGCGGCCUGUGAGGUGGGGAGAGAUAAAUGAACACGGGAUAUCAGCCUUGCGGAGGAAUGCCAUGAAUGAUGUGGUCUGGUAUCCAAAUCUUC